UACGUAGGGAGCGAGCGUUGUCCGGAUUCAUUGGGCGUAAAGAGCUCGUAGGCGGCUUGAUAAGUCGGAUGUGAAACCUCCAGGCUCAACCUGGAGUCGCCAUCCGAUACUGUCAUGGCUAGAGUCCGGUAGGGGCCCACGGAACUCCUGGUGUAGCGGUGAAAUGCGCAGAUAUCAGGAAGAACACCGGUGGCGAAGGCGGUGGGCUGGGCCGGCACUGACGCUGAGGAGCGAAAGCGUGGGGAGCGAACAGGAUUAGAUACCCUGGUAGUCCACGCCGUAAACGUUGGGCACUAGGUGUGGGACCUUAUCAACGGGUUCCGUGCCGUAGCUAACGCAUUAAGUGCCCCGCCUGGGGAGUACGGCCGCAAGGCUAAA
rnacentral:rRNA from 1 species